rnacentral:rRNA from 1 species
AUUGAACGCUGGCGGCAUGCCUUACACAUGCAAGUCGAACGGCAGCGGGGGAGAAGCUUGCUUUUCCUGCCGGCGAGUGGCGAACGGGUGAGUAAUACGUCGGAACGUGCCCUGUAGUGGGGGAUAACGAGUCGAAAGAUUAGCUAAUACCGCAUACGACCUGAGGGUGAAAGUGGGGGACCGCAAGGCCUCAUGCUAUAGGAGCGGCCGAUGUCUGAGUAGCUAGUUGGUGGGGUAAAGGCCUACCAAGGCGACGAUCAGUAGCUGGUCUGAGAGGACGAUCAGCCACACUGGGACUGAGACACGGCCCAGACUCCUACGGGAGGCAGCAGUGGGGAAUUUUGGACAAUGGGCGAAAGCCUGAUCCAGCAAUGCCGCGUGUGUGAAGAAGGCCUUCGGGUUGUAAAGCACUUUUGCCCGGAAAGAAAUGGCUCUGGUUAAUACCUGGGGUCGAUGACGGUACCGGAAGAAUAAGGACCGGCUAACUACGUGCCAGCAGCCGCCGCAG